CCUACGGGUGGCAGCAGUGAGGAAUAUUGGUCAAUGGGAGAGAUCCUGAACCAGCCAAGCCGCGUGAGGGAAGACGGCCCUAUGGGUUGUAAACCUCUUUUGUCGGAGAACAAAACCCGGGACGUGUCCCGGACUGCGUGUAUCCGAAGAAAAAGCAUCGGCUAACUCCGUGCCAGCAGCCGCGGUAAUACGGAGGGUGCGAGCGUUAAUCGGAAUUACUGGGCGUAAAGCGCUCGUAGGCGGUAUGUCAAGUCAAGGGUGAAAUCCCCGCGCUCAACGUGGGAACUGCCUUUGAAACUGGCAAACUGGAGUGUGUGAGAGGAUAGUGGAAUUCCAGGUGUAGGAGUGAAAUCCGUAGAUAUCUGGAGGAACAUCAGUGGCGAAGGCGACUAUCUGGCACAUAACUGACGCUGAGGAGCGAAAGCGUGGGUAGCAAACAGGAUUAGAUACCCUUGUAGUC
rnacentral:rRNA from 1 species